GACGGAGGGUGCAAGCGUUGCUCGGAAUCAUUGGGCGUAAAGGGCGCGUAGGCGGCGUGUCAAGUCAGGCGUGAAAGCCCCGGGCUCAACCUGGGAACCGCGCUUGAGACUGGCAUGCUCGAGUUCGGGAGAGGAUGGUGGAAUUCCCAGUGUAGAGGUGAAAUUCGUAGAUAUUGGGAAGAACACCGAUGGCGAAGGCAGCCAUCUGGACCGACACUGACGCUGAGGCGCGAAAGCGUGGGGAGCAAACAGG
rnacentral:rRNA from 1 species